GACGAACGCUGGCGGCGUGCUUAACACAUGCAAGUCGAACGAUGAAGCGGUGCUUGCACCGUGGAUUAGUGGCGAACGGGUGAGUAAUACGCGAGUGACCUACCUUUGACUCUGGGAUAAGCCUGGGAAACUGGGUCUAGUACCGGAUACGACCAAUCUCUACAUGGGGUGUUGGUGGAAAGCGUUAUGGAGUGGUUUUAGAUGGGCUCACGGCCUAUCAGCUUGUUGGUGAGGUAAUGGCUUACCAAGGCGACGACGGGUAGCCGGCCUGAGAGGGUGACCGGCCACACUGGGACUGAGAGACGGCCCAGACUCCUACGGGAGGCAGCAGUGGGGAAUAUUGCACAAUGGGCGCAAGCCUGAUGCAGCGACGCCGCGUGAGGGAUGACGGCCUUCGGGUUGUAAACCUCUGUUAGCAUCGAAGAAGCGAAAGUGACGGUAGGUGCAGAGAAAGCGCCGGCUAACUACGUG
rnacentral:rRNA from 1 species